UGAAACUCAAUAAACAAACAAUGCAAACAAUUUUAAAUAAUACAUGGUGGUGGAGUUCCCGAAAUCAAAUUUUCGUGAAUUAGACCCUAUUGUAUAUUUAAAUUUCAAUAUAAAGGCUUGUC
rfam:Mangrovimonas sp. DI 80 WGS_KM_S5._contig_6, whole genome shotgun sequence.